UACGUAGGUUGCGAGCGUUGUCCGGAAUUAUUGGGCGUAAAGGGCUCGUAGGCGGUUUGUCACGUCAGGAGUGAAAGCUCGGGGCUCAACUCCGAGCCUGCUUCUGAUACGGGCAGACUGGAGGUGUGCAGGGGAGAACGGAAUUCCUGGUGUAGCGGUGAAAUGCGCAGAUAUCAGGAGGAACACCGGUGGCGAAGGCGGUUCCCUGGGCAUUACCUGACGCUGAGGAGCGAAAGUGUGGGGAGCGAACAGG
rnacentral:rRNA from 1 species